UACGUAGGGUGCGAGCGUUUAAUCGGAAUUACUGGGCGUAAAGCGUGCGCAGGCGGUCUGUUAAGACCGAUGUGAAAUCCCGGCUUAACCUGGGAACUGCAUUGGUGACUGGCAGGCUUUGAGUGUGGCAGAGGGAGGUAGAAUUCCACGUGUAGCAGUGAAAUGCGUAGAGAUGUGGAGGAAUACCGAUGGCGAAGGCAGCCUCCGUGGGC
rnacentral:rRNA from 1 species